rnacentral:rRNA from 1 species
AGUCUGCAACCCGACUCCGUGAAGCUGGAUUCGCUAGUAAUCGCGCAUCAGCCAUGGCGCGGUGAAUACGUUCCCGGGCCUUGUACACACCGCCCGUCAAGCCAUGGGAGCCGGGGGUGCUUGAAGUGCGUGACCGCAAGGAGCGUCCUAAGGCAAUACCGGUGACUGGGGCUAAGUCGUAACAAGGUAUC